CAAGUCGAGCGAGCGGACGCAGAAGCUUGCUUCUCUGAUGUUAGCGGCGGACGGGUGAGUAACACGUGGAUAACCUACCUAUAAGACUGGGAUAACUUCGGGAAACCGGAGCUAAUACCGGAUAAUAUUUUGAACCGCAUGGUUCAAAAGUGAAAGACGGUCUUGCUGUCACUUAUAGAUGGAUCCGCGCUGCAUUAGCUAGUUGGUAAGGUAACGGCUUACCAAGGCAACGAUGCAUAGCCGACCUGAGAGGGUGAUCGGCCACACUGGAACUGAGACACGGUCCAGACUCCUACGGGAGGCAGCAGUAGGGAAUCUUCCGCAAUGGGCGAAAGCCUGACGGAGCAACGCCGCGUGAGUGAUGAAGGUCUUCGGAUCGUAAAACUCUGUUAUUAGGGAAGAACAUAUGUGUAAGUAACUGUGCACAUCUUGACGGUACCUAAUCAGAAAGCCACGGCUAACUACGUGCCAGCAGCCGCGGUAAUACGUAGGUGGCAAGCGUUAUCCGGAAUUAUUGGGCGUAAAGCGCGCGUAGGCGGUUUUUUAAGUCUGAUGUGAAAGCCCACGGCUCAACCGUGGAGGGUCAUUGGAAACUGGAAAACUUGAGUGCAGAAGAGGAAAGUGGAAUUCCAUGUGUAGCGGUGAAAUGCGCAGAGAUAUGGAGGAACACCAGUGGCGAAGGCGACUUUCUGGUCUGUAACUGACGCUGAUGUGCGAAAGCGUGGGGAUCAAACAGGAUUAGAUACCCUGGUAGUCCACGCCGUAAACGAUGAGUGCUAAGUGUUAGGGGGUUUCCGCCCCUUAGUGCUGCAGCUAACGCAUUAAGCACUCCGCCUGGGGAGUACGACCGCAAGGUUGAAACUCAAAGGAAUUGACGGGGACCCGCACAAGCGGUGGAGCAUGUGGUUUAAUUCGAAGCAACGCGAAGAACCUUACCAAAUCUUGACAUCCUUUGACAACUCUAGAGAUAGAGCCUUCCCCUUCGGGGGACAAAGUGACAGGUGGUGCAUGGUUGUCGUCAGCUCGUGUCGUGAGAUGUUGGGUUAAGUCCCGCAACGAGCGCAACCCUUAAGCUUAGUUGCCAUCAUUAAGUUGGGCACUCUAAGUUGACUGCCGGUGACAAACCGGAGGAAGGUGGGGAUGACGUCAAAUCAUCAUGCCCCUUAUGAUUUGGGCUACACACGUGCUACAAUGGACAAUACAAAGGGCAGCGAAACCGCGAGGUCAAGCAAAUCCCAUAAAGUUGUUCUCAGUUCGGAUUGUAGUCUGCAACUCGACUACAUGAAGCUGGAAUCGCUAGUAAUCGUAGAUCAGCAUG
rnacentral:rRNA from 1 species